UAACGCCCGUUUUCAGAAUCAUCAUCCCUA
rnacentral:piRNA from 1 species